rnacentral:rRNA from 1 species
AGUGAACGCUGGCGGCGUGCUUAACACAUGCAAGUCGAACGAGAACGGGUUAUAGCUUGCUAUAAUUGUCAGCUAAGUGGCGCACGGGUGAGUAAUGUAUAGGUAAUAUGCCUCUUACUAUGGGAUAACAAUUGGAAACGAUUGCUAAUACCUUAUACUCCUUAUUAACCUAAGUUAAUAAGGGAAAGAUUUAUUGGUAAGAGAUUAGCCUGUAUUGUAUCAGUUAGUUGGUGGGGUAAUGGCCUACCAAGACUAUGACACAUAACUGGUUUGAGAGGAUGAUCAGUCACACUGGAACUGAGACACGGUCCAGACUCCUACGGGAGGCAGCAGUGGGGAAUAUUGCACAAUGGACGAAAGUCUGAUGCAGCAACGCCGCGUGGAGGAUGACACAUUUCGGUGCGUAAACUCCUUUUAUAUGAGAAGAUAAUGACGGUAUUAUAUGAAUAAGCACCGGCUAACUCCGUGCCAGCCGCCGCGGUAA